rnacentral:rRNA from 1 species
UUUUCCUACGGGAGGCAGCAGUGGGGAAUCUUAGACAAUGGGCGCAAGCCUGAUCUAGCCAUGCCGCGUGAGUGAUGAAGGCCUUAGGGUCGUAAAGCUCUUUCGCCAGGGAUGAUAAUGACAGUACCUGGUAAAGAAACCCCGGCUAACUCCGUGCCAGCAGCCGCGGUAAUACGGAGGGGGCUAGCGUUGUUCGGAAUUACUGGGCGUAAAGCGCACGUAGGCGGAUCAGAAAGUAGGGGGUGAAAUCCCAGGGCUCAACCCUGGAACUGCCUUUUAAACUCUCGGUCUAGAGUUCGAGAGAGGUGAGUGGAAUUCCAAGUGUAGAGGUGAAAUUCGUAGAUAUUGGGAGGAACACCAGUGGCGAAGGCGGCUCACUGGCUCGAUACUGACGCUGAGGUGCGAAAGUGUGGGGAGCAAACAGGAUUAGAUACCCUGGUAGUCCCCCCCGCUCAUGAAUGCCAGUCGUCGGGGAGCAUGCCGUUCGGUGUCACACCUAACGGAU